AAUCGCAGUAAUCGCGGAUCAGCACGCCGCGGUGAAUACGUUCCCGGGCCUUGUACACACCGCCCGUCACACCAUGGAAGUCUGCAAUGCCCGAAGCCGGUGGCCUAACCACUUAUGUGGAAGGAGCCGUCUAAGGCAGGGCAGAUGACUGGGGUGAAGUCGUAACAAGGUACC
rnacentral:rRNA from 1 species